rnacentral:misc_RNA from 1 species
AGGUAUAUUAGGGGGAGGGGGUUGCUCCGAGAGGACCCUCCACGGUGGGAUGGGAUAAUCAAGGUAUGGAUGUUCUGACCCUAGGCACGGGUCCCCCUCGUGUCACAGCCUCGGUUGAGGUUGUACGUUAUGUCCGAAACGUCAGGGUAGCAGAGGCAACCGGACUUGGGUUACAGUUGGGUAAGAAAAGGUACCAGAUUUGUGGGACGAAUAAUGCAAACGGACUAAACCUGGCCUCGGGUUUGAGCGAGGCUGGGUGGACCGGUAAGGGAAACCUCAAACACUAGUGGGCUGUCCGAUAACGGGAAAGGUCUGUGAGCAGAAUUCGAUCUCAUAUUUCUGGUACCCUCCAGGUUGUGGUCGGGCUAAGAGAAGGUGGCAGAUUUGGAUGCUAUUGACACGGGCCCCCUCGUGUCAUGGCUUCCCGAUGUUCUGUGCGAAACGUAUACCGGGUUGCAGCGGUAUACGAAAAGUUGCCUUGAGGUCAUGACAAUGGCCUCCCGCCCCUGAAAAAGGGGCUCGGGAAUGACCCGGUGUUAUGACCCGAACGUAAUAGCUCCCGAGGCUGCAAGACCGGGUUAGGGCCCUGAACGGAAGGGUGCUAGAUUUGUCGGGAUGAAUGAUGGAAACGGACUUAUCCCGGCCUCGAGGUUUGAGCGAGGCAUGGGUAGACCGGUAAGGGAAAACUCAAACACGAGUGGGCUGUCCGAUAAUGGGAAACUGUCCGUGAUCAAAUUCGAUCUCAUAUUUCGGUACCCAUCCAGGUGUGGUCGGGCUCAGAGAUGGUGGCAGAUUGGGAUAUGCUAUUGACACGGGCCCCUCGUAUCAUGGCUGUCCUGAUGUUCUGUCCCAAGCGUAUACCGGGUUGCAGCGGUAUACGAAAAGUUGCCUUGAGGUCAUGACAAUGGCCUCCCCCUCCCCCUCUGAAAAUAGGGGCUCAGGAAUGACAUGACGUUACGUCGUGAACGUAGUGGUU